rnacentral:rRNA from 1 species
GAUCAACGCUGGCGGCGUGCAUGAGACAUGCAAGUCGAACGGACGACUCGGGCUUGCUCGAGUCGUUAGUGGCGGACGGCUGAGUAACGCGUGGGUGACCUGCCCCGAAGUGGGGAAUAACUGCCCGAAAGGGUGGCUAAUACCGCAUGUGGUGGUGCCUUCACCGGCAUCAGUAAAGCCGCAAGGCGCUUCGGGAGGGGCCUGCGUCCGAUUAGCUCGUUGGUGGGGUAACGGCUCACCAAGGCGACGAUCGGUAGGUGGUCUGAGAGGACGAUCACCCAGACUGGGACUGAGACACGGCCCGGACUCCUACGGGAGGCAGCAGUCGGGAAUUUUGCGCAAUGGGCGAAAGCCUGACGCAGCAACGCCGCGUGAGGGAUGAAGGCCUUCGGGUUGUAAACCUCUUUUCUCAGGGACGAUAGUGACGGUACCUGAGGAAGAAGUCACGGCUAACUACGUGCCAGCCGCCGCUGUAACAC